ACGAACGCUGGCGGCGUGCUUCACACAUGCAAGUCGCACGGAAAGGCCCUGCUUUUGUGGGGUGCUCGAGUGGCGAACGGGUGAGUAACACGUGAGUAACCUGCCCUUGACUUUGGGAUAACUUCAGGAAACUGGGGCUAAUACCGGAUAGGAGCUCCUGCUGCAUGGUGGGGGUUGGAAAGUUUCGGCGGUUGGGGAUGGACUCGCGGCUUAUCAGCUUGUUGGUGGGGUAGUGGCUUACCAAGGCUUUGACGGGUAGCCGGCCUGAGAGGGUGACCGGCCACAUUGGGACUGAGAUACGGACCAGACUCCUACGGGAGGCAGCAGUGGGGAGUAUUGCACAAUGGGCGGAAGCCUGAUGCAGCAACGCCGCGUGCGGGAUGACGGCCUUCGGGUUGUAAACCGCUUUCGCCUGUGACGAAGCGUGAGUGACGGUAAUGGGUAAAGAAGCACCGGCUAACUACGUG
rnacentral:rRNA from 1 species